rnacentral:rRNA from 1 species
CCUACGGGGGGUAGCAGUGAGGAAUAUUGGUCAAUGGACGAGAGUCUGAACCAGCCAAGUAGCGUGAAGGAUGACUGCCCUAUGGGUUGUAAACUUCUUUUAUAUGGGAAUAAAAUGUUCCACGUGUGGGAUUUUGUAUGUACCAUAUGAAUAAGGAUCGGCUAACUCCGUGCCAGCAGCCGCGGUAAUACGGAGGAUCCGAGCGUUAUCCGGAUUUAUUGGGUUUAAAGGGAGCGUAGGUGGAUUGUUAAGUCAGUUGUGAAAGUUUGCGGCUCAACCGUAAAAUUGCAGUUGAAACUGGCAGUCUUGAGUACAGUAGAGGUGGGCGGAAUUCGUGGUGUAGCGGUGAAAUGCUUAGAGAUCACGAAGAACUCCGAUUGCGAAGGCAGUUCACUGGACUGCAACUGACACUGAGGCUCGAAAGUGUGGGUAUCAAACAGGAUUAGAUACCCGAGUAGUC